rnacentral:rRNA from 1 species
GAUGAACGCUGGCGGCGUGCCUAAUACAUGCAAGUCGAGCGAACGGACGAGAAGCUUGCUUCUCUGAUGUUAGCGGCGGACGGGUGAGUAACACGUGGAUAACCUACCUAUAAGACUGGGAUAACUUCGGGAAACCGGAGCUAAUACCGGAUAAUAUUUUGAACCGCAUGGUUCAAAAGUGAAAGACGGUCUUGCUGUCACUUAUAGAUGGAUCCGCGCUGCAUUAGCUAGUUGGUAAGGUAACGGCUUACCAAGGCAACGAUGCAUAGCCGACCUGAGAGGGUGAUAGGCCACACGGGAAGUGGAACAGGGUCCAGACUCCUACGGGAGGCAGCAGUAGGGAAUCUUCCGCAGAGGGCGAAAGCCUGACGGAGCAACGCCGCGUGAGUGAUGAAGGUCUUCGGAUCGUAAAACUCUGUUAUUAGGGAAGAACAUAUGUGUAAGUAACUGUGCACAUCUUGACGGUACCUAAUCAGAAAGCCACGGCUAACUACGUG